ACGCCCGGCUAAUUUUUCGUAUUUUUAGUAGAGACGGGGUUUCACCGUGGUCUCGAUCUCCUGACCUCGUGAUUCGCCCGCCUCGGCCUCCCAAAGUGCUGGGAUUACAAGCGUGAGCCACCGCGCCCGGCCUAACGGAUGCUCUUUGUAGAGACAGGGUUUCACCGUGUUGGUCAGGCUGGUCUCGAACUGCUGACCUUGUGAUCCACCCGCCUCGGCCUCCCAAAAUGCUGGGAUUACAGGCGUGAGCCACCGCGCCCGGCAAGACCUAAAGCUUUUUAAGAAGAAAUUAAAACGUGGACCCCGGACCUGCUGGGCCCAUAGGCUAUGUCAGUCCGGCCUGGAGUGGACAGGACAGCUUAGGUUCAUCCAUCAGGAACUUAGGGGAACCCCCCAACACCCAAAUGUUCUAGAAGCAUCACUCAGAUCCGGUCGCUUGGAAAGCUGGGAGCAGAGCAAGUCGAUAAGGACAAGAGAACACUCCAUACACGUGUUUGGUUCAAGAAGAAGGCACUCAUCGACCUCACGAUCCUCUCCCUCCCUCUCUCCUGGUCUCUCUCUCUCUCUUUCUCUCUCUCUCUCUCUUUCGCUCUCAGGUUCGGGAAGGGGUGGCACCCGGCAGGCGGGACCCCGGGCCGGGUCCCAGGCCAGGGAAUCCUGUCAUCCAGCACAAAUCCUUGGGAGAAAUCUUUGGUAUCAGGCGUGAUUUUCCAAUCACAGACAUGAGCUUGAGUGAGGUAGCCUUUACCUGGGGGAGGGGAGGGGCAUUUCACUAGAAAUGUCUUUUGCAUUUUCAAGGGGGGUGGGCGGGCCGCCUCCUCCCUGGGAGGCAGCCGAUGGGUGGGGGGAUUUAAGGGAGGGGGUUCCUUCCGGCCUCGGAUCUUGAACCCCCGGAGGAGGCGGGCUCCUGGGAUCCCGCGGCCGGCCAGUCUCGGAGGUCACCCAGACCAGAUGAGAGGAGCGGGGGAGGGCACGGGGUGGCGGGGGGCGCUCAUCUUCAUUUCCGACCCUUCCCAUUUGUAAAUUUUUUUGGCAAAAAAUGGAGCAAGCGGAUUCCACCUUCUUCGGCUUCUUCUCUCUCUGGCGAGAGUGGAAACCAACACCAGGCUCAACCCCGCUGCCCCCUGCAAGCCCAGUUCAGCCCCCGACGCGGGCGGAAAGGGGGGCGGUGAAUUCCAGAAGGUUCCAAGGUUCCACGCUUCCACGCAGGAAGAGUCUCGUCGGGCCCGUGCAGAGCGGCUCCUCCGGGCGGCCCCAGCGGCGCCUUCUCCGUCCGGGUCCCCUUCUCCUGGGAGCCUGGGCGUGGUCUCCCGUGUCCGGAGCUGCGUCCAUCCCUGCGCUCCACGAAGGUGCCUAAAGCGGCGCCGUGCGUUCAUGAAGAAGUUGCUGACGGUGUUGAGCUCCAAGCCGAGCUGCUGCGAGAUGGUGACCUGCAUCUCCUUGGACGGCCGCUUAUUCUCCUUGAAGAUGGCGAUCAGCGUGCGUCGCUGCAGCCCCAACCUGGGGGUGUUGGGGAAAUGACAUGGAAACUGCACAUGUGAGUUUGUGGCUCAGUGGAGACUUGGGUGAAAUAACUGGUUAAUUACUAGGUCCUGGGGUGCGUCACAAAACCCAGAAGUCUUCCCCAGAAUUGAUGAGCCACCCAGGGCCUUUCCUUUCUUUCUUUUCUUUUUUUUUGGGAGGGGAAGUCUUGCUAUGUUGCCCAGCCUGGUCUCGAACUCCUGGCCUCAAGUGAUCCUCUGGCCUCAGCCUCCCAAAGCACUGGGAUUACAGGUGUGUGCCAUGGCAACUGACUCUGACAACCAAGCUCUAUGAAUGAACAGCAGCGACACUCCUGCUGAGACCACCCAGACUUGGCCUCCCUCGAGCAUCCAGUGGACCCUCUGGAGCACAGAACAUCUAAGGAAGAAGACUUUGGAGGAGGAGGGGAGAGUGCAGGGACCACCUCUUCCUCACCCAGAUGAGCAGGUCACCCUUCCUCUUGGUCAGCCCGCACAGAUCGGGGAGAGGGCUGAAGGAGGCUGCCCCAUGGCCUGCAGACCAGACACUUGCAAAGGGGAGAAAAGCAAAGGCACGGGGUGAUGCAGCAGGGCUGAAGCCGAGUCCUGCUCUUCCUGCUCCAGCAGCAAAGCGGACCCCUCCCGUCAAUGCAGUGGGUGUCAGUGGGUACAAAACACAGGCUUCCCCACCUAGGAGCUGGGCCACAAGUCAGAUGGGCUCAUUUGUGGCAUCAGCUUGAAACUCCAUCAGAAUCUCAGUUUCUCUCCUGCAUCCAGACUGGGACUGUGGUGCUGGAGAGGCUGUCCUGCCCUUGUCUCCAUCCCAGAGUUCCAGCUACUCUGUGACCCCCAGAAGUGGCCGGUGGUGCAGGUUGUACUAGUGGGUCUCUGCUCCCAGUCUCUUCUCUGUGCCAGCCGUGGUGGCCUACUGGGAUGGCACAGAGAGCUUUUCUUUCGGUUGCAGAACAGCCUGGAACAUGACAUGCUAGAUCAAUGCCCAUACACGUCCACAGAAAUAAAUGAAUGUUCCCUCU